rnacentral:rRNA from 1 species
GGAUCCCAUCAGAACUCUGAAGUUAAGCGUGCUUGGGCGAGAGUAGUACUAGGAUAGGUGACCUCCUGGGAAGUACUCGUGUUGGUGCGGUAGAGAGGGGGUUGAGUAUGCAUUAUUACACGGCGGUGCAUAAGAAGGUAGGGGCGAGAUAAGGGACGAAGUGGGGAAACAUGUCGGAUGCGAUCAUACCAGCACUAAAGCACC